CGAGCCCAACCUCCCACCCGUGUUUACUGUACCUUAGUUGCUUCGGCGGGCCCGCCAUUCAUGGCCGCCGGGGGCUCUCAGCCCCGGGCCCGCGCCCGCCGGAGACACCACGAACUCUGUCUGAUCUAGUGAAGUCUGAGUUGAUUGUAUCGCAAUCAGUUAAAACUUUCAACAAUGGAUCUCUUGGUUCCGGCAUCGAUGAAGAACGCAGCGAAAUGCGAUAACUAGUGUGAAUUGCAGAAUUCCGUGAAUCAUCGAGUCUUUGAACGCACAUUGCGCCCCCUGGUAUUCCGGGGGGCAUGCCUGUCCGAGCGUCAUUGCUGCCCAUCAAGCACGGCUUGUGUGUUGGGUCGUCGUCCCCUCUCCGGGGGGGACGGGCCCCAAAGGCAGCGGCGGCACCGCGUCCGAUCCUCGAGCGUAUGGGGCUUUGUCACCCGCUCUGUAGGCCCGGCCGGCGCUUGCCGAACGCAAAUCAAUCUUUUCCAGGUUGACCUCGGAUCAGGUAGGGAUACCCGCUGAACUUAAGCAUAUCAUAAGGGAGAAAA
rnacentral:rRNA from 1 species